UGUGGGUGCCAGAGGGGUACCAGGGGGUGUGUGGGGGUGCCUGGCUCUGACCCCCCCCCCCCCCAGCACUGGUCCGCGGCUGCGUCCAGGCCUUCUGGCGCCACGGGGUGCAGGUGUGGCAGGUGGGCUCCGCGCAGCUGAUCGAGGAGCUGCGGGACCAGCGCUGGACCUUCCGCCUGCUCAGCUCCCACAGGUACAAACUGGGGGGUUCUGGGGGGGUCAUGGGGGGGGUUCAGGGGGGCACCCCCACCCCACCCUGACCCUCCCCCAUUUCCCCCCCCAGCACCCUGGUCCUGGAGAUGCGCCCCGCCGACGAGGCCAACGCUUACAGCAACCUCUACGUCCAGGCGUGACCCCCCCCGGAACGGGGGGGGGACCCCCCCGGGGCUGGGGGGGGGGCAGGGAGGCUGAGCUGGGCCCCGCCCAGCCAGAUCAGCACCCAUGGGUGGGCUGUGCCCCCUCCCCCCCAGCAUCUCCCUCCUUUUGCUGACAUUUGUAAUUAUUUGCACCCCCAAAAAAACCCUGAAGAGCC
rnacentral:lncRNA from 1 species